UGGGGAAUAUUGGACAAUGGGGGAAACCCUGAUCCAGCGAUGCCGCGUGUGUGAAGAAGGCCUGCGGGUUGUAAAGCACUUUCAGUUGGGAAGAAGAAGGUAUGCUGAAUAAGUAUACUGGAAGACGUUACUAACAGAAGAAGCACCGGCUAACUCUGUGCCAGCAGCCGCGGUAAUACAGAGGGUGCGAGCGUUAAUCGGAGUGACUGGGCGUAAAGGGCGCGUAGGCGGUUUAUUUAGUCUGAUGUGAAAUAACUAGGCUUAACCUGGUAUGUGCAUUGGAAACGGAUAGGCUAGAGUAUUGGAGAGGGAAGUGGAAUUUCCGGUGUAGCGGUGAAAUGCGUAGAGAUCGGAAAGAACACUCGUGGCGAAGGCGACUUCCUGGCCAAAGACUGACGCUGAGGCGCGAAGGCGUGGGGAGCAAACAGG
rnacentral:rRNA from 1 species